rnacentral:lncRNA from 1 species
AGUGAGCAUCUGAGCCACAGCAGAUUUGUGGGUAUCAUUGGCUUUUUCAGACAUCAAAAGCAAACUGUGUGAAAGAUGAUGGAGGUGCUCAGACAAGAAUGGGGAAUGAAAAUGAGCAAAUAGAAGAUCAUGCUCAAUAAAAACACAAAAUGAUAAUCAGAAUAAAUGAGACUAUCAGUGCACAAGUAGAAGAAAAUCAACUAGGAACAUCUGUUCAGAUUCUGAGAACUGACCCUGGAAGAAUCAAAUAGGAUCUUCUUCAGUGGAGUUACUGCAGGCACUUCUAGAUGUAGGGUGUGGCAACACGAGAAAUCAAUAGAAAACAGAAUCUUUGAAGUUGACAGCAUCUCUGAUGAAAUCUUCAAGGCUCCAAUGAGACAUCUUCUUAGACCACAAGAUCUUCAUAAUAUAGCUGCUGCUGCUGCUGCUAAGUCGCUUCAAUCGUGUCCAACUCUGUGAGACCCCAUGGACAGCAGCCCACCAGGCUCCCCCGUCCCUGGGAUUCUCCAGGCAAGAACACUGGAGUGGGUUGCCAUUUCCUUCUCCAAUACAUGAAAGUAAAAAGGGAA